ensembl:lncRNA
CACAGGACAUGCCGCUUUAUUAUAAAACCUGACACAGGCAUAGUACCAAGUAUUUCCUCCAGGGUUGUUAAAAUUGUUUUAUUGUAGCUUCACAUUCUGAUGUCGUUUAAAAUGCCUUUGGGGGCAGUUCGAAGCAGUUCUUCAUGCCACUUAGUUUGAAAAUAAAAUUCUAGAUAUGCAAAUGAUUUUCUUAGAAAACUUCACAAAAUAAAAGGUGGUUUUUUUUUCCAUAGCACGGUAAUGAAUGUGGUUAUCAAUCAUAUACUUUUUUGGAUUAUAUUGUAGCAAAAAGUUGAUUAGCUUACAAAGAUUAUUAAUAGCAAUGUAUGUGUUAUAAUACAACCUAGAGUACAUUAACCUACAAAAACUCAUGCUGGCUGUAGGAUAGUAAUAAAGGAAGAAUUAUGACUUCAUUAUGAAAAAAAAAAGUUUUAAAGUUUUCGGUUACAAGCAAAUUGGAAGAAAAUACCUAAGGUGCUUUCAAAAGAGUAACUGAAAUUGUUGCAGGCCAAAACAGCAAUAUGAUAUCUCAGAUUCAGUUCAAUAAGAACAGUGAAACCUUUGGUUCACUAAUAAAUUCUGAGUAAAUUAGUGGUGAAGACAAAAUGUAACUUGUUUUAGUGAGCCACUAAGGAAAGAAUAUGCUUAUUACAAAGACAAAGUGUGGUGCAGAAAGUAUGUUGCACGUGUGUGCAUAAACUGUUCGUCAUGACUGACUUGAUAUGUUGCUAUUGUGGUUCUAUAUACUCCCUCCAAUAUAGAUAAUUUUUAAUAACAACUGUGGGAUAAAAGUUAUCUUCCCCUAGGAAAGACUAAUGAGCACAAUGAUACUAAUCACUUUUGUAGUGAAUAAUAAAUGCAAUAAUUGCCUCAUGGGUGAGAAAUUGUCUGUCUAAAUGCUUCUGAAGCUUUUAAAGUAUCUGGUUCUGUCAGUGGCCAGUUAUAUCAAUGCAGAGUAUUGUGUACCUACUUAGCUAUUUUAUGAGAAUUGAUUUUUACUAAGCCUGAUUUGAAUGGAUUGCAUUUACACCAACUGCUAUUUAUUAAUGAAAGUGAUAGCCUGCUUUUUAAAUAAUAUGUGUUUUGUCAACAGGAGAGGGUUUUCUGAGCUUUUAACACUAGUAACCCUGAACUUCUCCCAAAAUCCACACCUUUUAUUCCCCCUUUUCGUUGUCUCCUUGUAGGUGCCUCAGUCCUGGCAUCUCGGGAGGACUCUGCCAUUACUCAUCUGUUACUGAUUCUGAAUCUUGUGCUCUAGCUCUCCAGCCCGGUGAAGAAGCAAUAUAUCUUUAAUUCAGGGCUUGCCUAUUGCUUUCCAAUUCUAACCUGAGAGCAGUGCUACUUCUGUAAUUGCAGGUCUAAAUAACUUAAACGUAUAUACAGAAGCCAAUCACUGAUCGCUUCCAUUGCAAUGAGGCAUCUGCUGUCAAAGAAGGAAACCAUUUGUCAAGUCCCUUAUAGAUACUGAAUCUUCAAACCCAAAUCUGGGGAUGUUUGCAUUUCUGGAUUAAAAUCAGUAUACCUGUAAUGCCAGCACUUUGGGAGGCUGAGGCGGGCAGAUCACCUGAGGUCAGGAGUUUGAGACCAGCCUGGCCAACAUGGCAAAACCCCAUCUCUACUAAAAGUGCAAAAAUUAGUCAGGCAUGGUAGUGGGCACCUGUAAUCCCAGUUACCUAGAAGGCUGAGGCAGGAGAAUCUCUUGAACCUGGGAGGUGGAGGUUGUGGUUAGCCGAGAUCGUGCCACUGCACUCCAGCCUGGGCGACAAGAGCGAGACUGCAUGUCAAAAAAAGAAAAACAAAAUCAGUGUACUUAUGGAAAAUGAAGACAUGUUUCAAAUUGUUUAGAGAGAAUUCUUACUUGAUUAUAGCAAGACAGGGAAAAGCUUGCCUGCUCUGGUGUCUACAGUUUGAUUACCAUUAAAGGUUCACAAUGUAUACUGUAAGAUUAUGUACUAAAAGCUAGUGGCCUUCUGCAGAUUUUAAAGCCCAAGUAAUAUACACUUAAAAAUAGUUUAUUUCCUUGAGAGUGAGCUUUGAAACAGCAUGAGGGAAAACACAUCUGAAGCUAAUGUCUAAUCGGACUAUUUUGCUAUAACAGAAAAAAGCUUACUUUGUAUUUAACCUAAGGAAAAUAAGAUAGCACUAUACAAGAAAACAAAAAUACUUUCAUUCUGGAAGAAAAGAGUUUCAGGACUUCUUUUCUUUUUUGUUCUCCUGUAGAAUUUGUUUAGUUUUAGCUUCUGCUGGCAGCAUUUUUGGGACUUUUUAAUGCCGACCGCUCUUCCCCCCACUCUCCAUACACACCCACACAAAAGUGGUAUUAAAUGGUUAAAAUGUCACUGCAGCCAUUUUUAACAUACACGAAACAAUUUGCCUUAAUCUUAUUAGCAGCUGGGAUAAUCAAAUUAAAUAGCCUGGUUUGUGAACACUUGUAAGCCUUAUGUAGGUAUAAUCAACUCAUUUUUAAUAUGAGUUGAACUAUCUCAAAAGCACUAUGAAUCUUUAAGAAAUUAUUCUCCAGAAGUGUAUAUACAAGAUUAGAAGAAGACAUUUUUCUGUGCUUUAUUUCUUGAGUAAUGUAAAAAAUGAGAUGUGUGCAAGAAGCACCCUGAAUAUUUUAAGUAGAGAGCAAAAUCGGAUUAAAGAUACUGACCUUACAUAUUGAAAUCUACUAGUAAAAGCCACAAGGUUGGCUCUGAGAAAACGCUGAAGUGUGGUGUUCCUUAUGGUAUGUGUGUUAAUGCUACCUCACCAAGCUCACGUCAGGGUGAAAGUGAUUAUGUAACCAAUUCUGCUGUCAUCAAAAUAUCUUCUUUUUUAUUUUUGAGAUGACUUUUGAGUCUACUGCUUUGUAAGUAAUUGUUUAGAUUAUCUUGAUUGAAGAUCCUCUAAAAUUAGAAUUUGGCAAGACAAAUAUAUCUUACAAAAUUUGGGUAUACUAUAUUUUAAUAUAAUGAAAUCUUGGUAGGAAGGAAGUAUUCUUUUAAAUCGUGUAAUUAUCAAAAUGUAGCAUUGUCUGAUACUUACUAAAGUUGGACAAGCAGGGAUGAUACUAUGCCAACAAGCUGGGAAAUAGGAACUAAUGGGAAAACACCAGUCACUAGAAAAAUCUGAAACAAGUUCGGAAACCUCUUGUUUCAUAGUAGAAUAGGGGGAUUCUACAUCCUUGAAAUAGGGAUGGAGAAGAGAUAUAGAAGAAAGGCAUUCAUUCCCUCCACAAAUCGGGUCUCAAAUUCUAGUGCUGGUAAGGGCAAAAGGUGGUUUCCAGAGUAGCUGUAACCAUCUGCUGUUCUGAAAUACAGGUUGAGCCUGAGGGAGUCUUAACAGUACUGAAGGGCAAAUAGACAAAGGGAUUUUCAGAUGUCAGCUAAACAGUGGACGCUGCUGCAACAUGUUACAUUCGUGUAAGGAUCCAGAGGUGGGUGAACGUAAAUGAUAUUUAGGCCCAGAUUUUACAGUAA